GUUUGAUUAUGGCUCAGGAUGAACGCUAGCGGCAGGCUUAACACAUGCAAGUCGAGGGGCAGCGCGAGUAGCAAUACUUGGCGGCGACCGGCGCAAGGGUGCGUAACGCGUGAGCAACAUGCCCGUAUCAGGGGGAUAAUCCAGGGAAACUUGGUCUAAUACCCCAUAGUAAUUUUGUAAGGCAUCUUAUAAGAUUUAAAGCUUUGGUGGAUACGGAUUGGCUCGCGUGACAUUAGCUGGAUGGUAAGGUAACGGCUUACCAUGGCUAUGAUGUCUAGGGGUUCUGAGAGGAAGGUCCCCCACACUGGAACUGAGACACGGUCCAGACUCCUACGGGAGGCAGCAGUGAGGAAUAUUGGACAAUGGAUGGAAAUCUGAUCCAGCCAUGCCGCGUAGAAGGAAGAAGGUCCUAUGGAUUGUAAACUUCUUUUGUAUGGGAGCAAUAAGGCCUACGAGUAGGUUGAUGAGAGUACCAUACGAAUAAGCACCGGCUAACUCCGUGCCAGCCGCGGC
rnacentral:rRNA from 1 species